UGUGAUCUACCCUGUCACCCUGAACCAUUAUGUGUGUAGUAUCUGUUCCUGGGUCAGUGAUCUACCCUGUCACCCUGAACCAUUAUAGGGAGGUAGUAUCUGUUCCUGGGUCAGUGAUCUACCCUGUCACCCUGAACCAUUAUAGGGAGGAGGUAGUAUCUGUUCCUGGGUCAGUGAUCUACCCUGUCACCCUGAACCAUUAUAGGGAGGAGGUAGUAUCUGUUCCUGGGUCAGUGAUCUACCCUGUCACCCUGAACCAUUAUAGGGAGGAGGUAGUAUCUGUUCCUGGGUCAGUGAUCUACCCUGUCACCCUGAACCAUUAUAGGGAGGUAGUAUCUGUUCCUGGGUCAGUGAUGUCACCAAUUCUCAGGUGCUGAUUUGGCCCGUAGGGUUAAUGAAACGGGGUGGAGAGGAGUCACGGCAGCACGUUUUUCAACCCCCCCCUCCUCCCUCCGGAACUUUUAAUUAAGGGUGUAACCGUGGUUACAGCUGAACACCUGACCAGGGGGCCACGUUCAGUCGCCGAACGUUGUGAAACGUUGUGAAACGUGAGCAGCUAGAAAUGUCACGGAUAGAGCCGACCACGGUUCCUCAUUCUACGUCUGUCAGAGAGGCGUGUUUCUUCUACACAGCAUAUUUCUACCUGAACAACUUUCUGUUGCAUAUUCUAGAAAACAUAUAUCUAUGCUAUAUCCCUUUUUAUUGUUCAGCUCAAACGGCAUCCUGUUCCCUAGGUAACACUACUACUGGCCAGAGGGGUCAGCCACCUCAUCAGAACCUAAUAUCUAACAAAUUACACAACAAACACCUAAUUAACACCUAAAACAUAGUGGCUAAAGUAGUGCACUAUAAUAGGGAACAGGGAGCUGUUCGGGAGUGGGCUGACCUCUUAGUGUGUCCAUGACGAUAUGUAUGUAACAUGGUUUGUAAUAAGAUGUACAGUUUAAAGACCAUUUAUGAACAGAGCUGACUGACUGGCUGGUUUACUGCCUGUUACACAGAGGAACCGUGGACUGUAUAACAUGUCCUAUUGGUACACUGGGGGGGUAGCCCAAUGGGUCCUGGUCAAACCUAGUUCACUACAGGAAGCCAUUUGGGAUGCAUGUGAGUGUGGGGGGGUUUGUUCAAUGAAGCCCUGUUGUAAACCUGCUGUUCGACCAGGGGGGUUUGUUCAGUGAAGCCCUGUUGUCAACCUGCUGUUCGACCAGGGGGGUUUGUUCAGUGAAGCCCUGUUGUAGUAAACCUGCUGUUCGACUGACAGGGUCUAUGUAUAAAGAACUGUGGACUGAUACAUAAUAGUAAUGAUCUGUUUAGGUUUUAGUUUAAACUGUAAAAAAAUGAACUGUUCCACAAAAAUGCUUCCGUUUUAAAAUAAUAUCUUCCUAAACUGUUUCUCUUCUUAUUGGACUGAGUGGUUGUAAAGUUCUACUCCUGAGAGAGGUGGACCGGACCAGAGUGGGACAGGACCAGAGUUAGUGGUUGUAAAGUUCUACUCCUGGGAGAGGUGGGACAGGACCAGAGUGGGACCGGACCAGAGUUAGUGGUUGUAAAGUUCUACUCCUGGGAGAGGUGGACCGGACCAGAGUGGGACAGGACCAGAGUGGGACAGGACCAGAGUUAGUGGUUGUAAAGUUCUACUCCUGGGAGAGUGGGACAGGACCAGA